ncrna:unclassified sequences uup RNA
GACGAAUUCGCUCUAUGCAAAUGGUACCGAUGAAACAUUGUAUAGAGC